rnacentral:misc_RNA from 1 species
GGGCACAAGAAUCUUUACAUCGUCGAUGCCGUGAAUGGCGAGUUUGACGGGGAAUUACGGCGGUUGACCGAUGGACCGUGGAUCGACACGAUGCCAAGUUGGUCGCCGGCGGGAGAUCUCAUAGUAUUUUCUUCGAACAUGCAUAAUCCGAAGAACACUGAAGCAUUUAGUAUCUACCUCAUCAGACCGGACGGUUCGGGGUUGAGGAGAGUACACGUGGCUGGACCGGAAGGGUCUAGUGAGGUGGACAGAGAGAGGAUUAACCAUGUGUGUUUUAGUAGGGACGGUAAAUGGCUUUUAUUUACGGCGAAUUUGAGUGGUGUGACAGCGGAGCCAGUGUCGUUGCCCAAUCAGUUUCAGCCAUAUGGCGAUCUGUUUGUGGUGAAAUUGGAUGGGACUGGGUUGAGGAGGCUGACGUGCAAUGGAUAUGAAAAUGGGACUCCCACGUGGUAUUAUGGGAAUGAGCUGGCACUUUCUGGGUUGAGUUUGAAAGAUGAGGUGGUUGGUGAGAAGUUGAAGGGAGAAUUUGAUGAACCGCUUUGGAUAAAGUUCGAUUGAUGAUAUGUGCCACGUGGACGUUUUUGAAGAUUUGGUUGAAUUCUAAUUUGGGUCCCACUUGUUUUAAUGAAUUACAUCUUAAUUGGG